UACGGAGGGGGCUAGCGUUGUUCGGAAUUACUGGGCGUAAAGCGUCCGUAGGCGGCUUUGUAAGUCAGAGGUGAAAGCCCACGACUCAAUCGUGGAACUGCCUUUGAGACUGCAUCGCUUGAAGAUGGGAGAGGUUAGUGGAAUUCCGAGUGUAGAGGUGAAAUUCGUAGAUAUUCGGAAGAACACCAGUGGCGAAGGCGGCUAACUGGACCAUUCCUGACGCUGAGGGACGAAAGCGUGGGGAGCAAACAGG
rnacentral:rRNA from 1 species